rnacentral:rRNA from 1 species
GACGAACGCUGGCGGCGUGCUUAACACAUGCAAGUCGAACGGAAAGGCCCUGCUUUUGUGGGGUGCUCGAGUGGCGAACGGGUGAGUAACACGUGAGUAACCUGCCCUUGACUUUGGGAUAACUUCAGGAAACUGGGGCUAAUACCGGAUAGGAGCUCCUGCUGCAUGGUGGGGGUUGGAAAGUUUCGGCGGUUGGGGAUGGACUCGCGGCUUAUCAGCUUGUUGGUGGGGUAGUGGCUUACCAAGGCUUUGACGGGUAGGCGGCCUGAGAGGGUGAACGGGCCAAAUGGGGAUGAGGUAAGGGCCCGGGUGCCAACGGGGGGAAGCGGGGGGAAUAUUGGCAAAUGGGCCGAAGGCUGAUGGCAGAACGCCGGGUGGGGGAAGACGGGCGUUGGGGUGUAAAACCAUUUUGCCCGGGACCGAGGCUGAGGUAAGGGAAUGGGUAAAAAAGGAACGGGCAAAUAAGUG